UUGUAAGGAACUCGGCAAAUUAUCUUCAUAAGUUAGACGAAAUGAAGGACCCUCUAUUAAUUACUAUUAUGAUCUUUAGAGUUUUUAAUUAUCCCUUCCCUCCUGUUCCAACCCGUAAGGGGAGGAUAGGGGGACAGGAACUAAGAAUAUUUAAGGUGUAAUAGUAAUUAGGAUGGUGGCACAAAAUCGGAGGCCCCGACUGUUUACUUAAAACACAGCUUUCUGCAACGAUUAAUAUCUUUGUAUAGGAAGCGAAUUUUGCCCAAUGCCAUUAAUAUAAUGUUGAUAACCUUUUUAGUGUUUAUCGAUUGAAGUUCUGGUCAAUGGCGGUCUUAACCAUGAGGAUCCUAAGGUAGCAAAAUUAAUUGUCCAUUAAAUGUGGUCCCGACUGAAUAAAGUAACGAUGGUCUCACUGUCUCUACAAGUAUCUCAGUGAAAUUGAAUUAGCCGUGCAGAUGCGGUUUAACUUCGGGUAGACGGGAAGACCCU
rnacentral:rRNA from 1 species